rnacentral:rRNA from 1 species
AGAGUUUGAUCCUGGCUCAGGAUGAACGCUAGCGAUAGGCUUAACACAUGCAAGUCGAGGGGCAGCAUGGUCUUAGCUUGCUAAGACUGAUGGCGACCGGCGCACGGGUGCGUAACGCGUAUGCAACUUGCCUCACAGAGGGGGAUAACCCGUCGAAAGACGGACUAAUACCGCGUACACUCUAUGUUGGGCAUCCAAUGUAGAGGAAAUGAAAUUCGCUGUGAGAUAGGCAUGCGUCCCAUUAGCUAGUUGGUGAGGUAACGGCUCACCAAGGCAACGAUGGGUAGGGGAACUGAGAGGUUGAACCCCCACACUGGUACUGAGACACGGACCAGACUCCUACGGGAGGCAGCAGUGAGGAAUAUUGGUCAAUGGGCGAGAGCCUGAACCAGCCAAGUCGCGUGAAGGACGACGGUUCUAUGGAUUGUAAACUUCUUUUGUAGAGGAAUAAUGGCAGCUACGCGUAGCUGAGAUGCAUGUACUCUACGAAUAAGUAUCGGCUAACUCCGUGCCAGCAGCCGCGGUAAUACGGAGGAUACGAGCGUUAUCCGGAAUUAUUGGGUUUAAAGGGUGCGUAGGUGGCGUAUUAAGUCAGUGGUGAAAAGCUGCAGCUCAACUGUAGUCUUGCCGUUGAAACUGAUAUGCUAGAGAGGAGACGAGGUAUGCGGAAUGUGUGGUGUAGCGGUGAAAUGCAUAGAUAUCACACAGAACGCCGAUUGCGAAGGCAGCGUACCAGGCUCCGUCUGACACUGAAGCACGAAAGCGUGGGGAUCAAACAGGAUUAGAUACCCUGGUAGUCCACGCAGUAAACGAUGAAUACUAGAUUUUUGCGAUAUAGUGUAAGAGUCUAAGCGAAAGCGAUAAGUAUUCCACCUGGGGAGUACGCCGGCAACGGUGAAACUCAAAGGAAUUGACGGGGGCCCG